rnacentral:rRNA from 1 species
ACGAACGCUGGCGGCGUGCUUAACACAUGCACGUCGAACGGAAAGGCCCUGCUUGCAGGGUACUCGAGUGGCGAACGGGUGAGUAACACGUGGGUGAUCUGCCCUGCACUUCGGGAUAAGCCUGGGAAACUGGGUCUAAUACCGGAUAGGAGCCAUUUUUAGUGUGAUGGUUGGAAAGUUUUUUCGGUGUAGGAUGAGCUCGCGGCCUAUCAGCUUGUUGGUGGGGUAAUGGCCUACCAAGGCGGCGACGGGUAGCCGGCCUGAGAGGGUGGACGGCCACAUUGGGACUGAGAUACGGCCCAGACUCCUACGGGAGGCAGCAGUGGGGAAUAUUGCACAAUGGGCGCAAGCCGGAUGCAGCGACGCCGCGUGGGGGAUGACGGCCUUCGGGUUGUAAACUCCUUUCGCUAGGGACGAAGCUUUUUGUGACGGUACCUAGAUAAGAAGCACCGGCUAACUACGUG